rnacentral:lncRNA from 1 species
AAGCCUUUUCCCCAGAUCAAUUUUUUUUUUCUUUGAUUGGAUCUCACUUGACUCUCUGUUGCUCACAUUGCAUAUUGAGGUAGAAAUUUUGUAUAAAUUUAUUGGCGUUCAAUCAGAAUAUUCGUUUAAGUUCUUCCUAUUGAUUCCUGGAACACUUUUAAAUUACACUUAAAAGAAAAAGGUCAGCAAUCACCCAAAAGAGUAACCUUUUGUGCUUAUAUUUUACCAAAGUUAUUUUUUUCUUAUGUCGUUAGAAAAAGUCAAAUCGUAACGUGGUACUGUGGGAAUUAUUAUGCUAUGCCUUCUGUUUGUAUAUCAUUAGGCUGGUAUGAAGUGUGAUUUUACUGCUGUUUUCUGAUUAGCAGGCUGGAAUCAUGUUUGUGUGACAGAUAGUAGCUUUGAGAGAGGAUGGAUGUCCCAAAGUUUGGGUUGUGACUUCUGAUCAUUUGCAGCAGCAUGCAGCAUAUGGAGCGGUAUGCUCUUUACUCUUGAGUUUUUUACAGUAGU